AUGUAGAAGUCUUGACGCAGCCACGCCGCGUGAGUGAGGAAGGCCUUCGGGUUGUAAAGCUCUGUCGCCUGGGAAAAACGGCUAUCCGGGGAAAGUUCGGGUAGCGUGAUGGUUCCAGGAAAGGAAGCACCGGCAAACUCUGUGCCAUCAGCCACAAAAA
rnacentral:rRNA from 1 species